CCCAUCUAUCAAAUACGAUCGUGCCCUAGGCACGAUCGUGGAAGGGGAAACGCAGAGAGAGGGGGUGGGGGCGGCGGCAUUAGACGGGAUCAAUCGCCGGAGGAGGCAGAUCGUCGGGGGAGGGUGAACGCCGGGGAAGGCGGCGGAUUUCGCGAGCCGGCCGGUCAAGGAGGAGGAUCCCUACCAAAUGCACGAAGAGGCCUCGGAUCCGUGGGUUUACUCACGGAUUUCUCCACCGAUUUCUCGCCGGAAGGGCCGCCGGAGCAUCCCGCCGGACCGAGGGGAAGAGUCAACGGAGCCAGGAGAUUUUGAUAAGGGGACUCAGCACCCCAGCGAGUAGGUUGUGACUCGGAUCCGUGAUUGAGUCAGUCUACAAUUUCAAGGCACUGGAUUUGUAGAGACCAUUGGGUGGGACGAGAAAUAAGAUCAGCAUGGAGUCUGAUUGCUGGAUAGAUAGGAGUUAAUCUAUCUUUUAUUUAUGGACAUUUGAAAUUAUGUAAUAAAUCAGUACAUUUUAGUUGGAUUUGAUUGAAUUACAUUAAUCUUUGAUUUUGGCA